rnacentral:tRNA from 1 species
GAUCGUAUGCCCGAGUGGUGAGGGGGCCGCCUGCAAAGCGGUUCACGCCGGUUCGAGUCCGGCUGCGGUCUC